ACGAAAGAAGCCUCUAGAGGAGCAUUCUUGCUCCACCACAGGCUCGGGGGCUACUGUUGGGGGGAAAUAUUAACAACCUCCUAAUGCCGCUUAAAGCAACAGUCACGGAAGCCCAGGUCCAUCUAAGGUAACGAAAUUGCCGUCGGCCCAACAUGGAAGGGAGAGGCCACGUUCCGCCUCGCCCGACCCGGGGUCCCGGGGUCGGACACCCCCGACUCCUUGAAGACUAAACUCCGCCUUGCCCGACCCCAGGGACCGGGGUCGGGAGCGCCCGACCCCCACCACGGAAACUCCGCCUCACCCGACCCUGGGCGCGGGGGUCGGACUCGCUCGGGUCCACAAGACGAAUAUCCGCCUCGGGCGCGGAUUGGAGGAUCAGGAUGACGAUCUCGUUGGUCCCCCUAUCGACCUCGCCAUAAAUGCGUCGCGGCCCUGUUAGGACGAAAGGGAGCGGCUCCCCCAAUGCAACCGGUCCCGAAUACCGGUGCGCGGCCGUGCAGCGCGGGCUGCAGUGGCUGCGGCUCCUUCUGAUUCGCCAUAGGGUACUCAUGAGCUGUGUCGAAUGACACAGGAGAGCGUAUCGCUUGCUCUCGCGCCCCGUGCUCCCAACGGCAGUGUCAGGGACGCGACGUCCGAGUCUUACGGUAAUCGGCAGGGUAGCAGAAUCAGACCUCCUCCCCGGCGGGCACGAAUGCUGAGACUGAGGCUCAUCAUCAUGCUCGACGGCGACGGCGACUAGGGAGAUCAUCGACAAGAUCAAAAAGGAAUCGUUUCCCCUCGCUGGGCGUGCUGACAGGGACCAGAGGCCAGAGCAAGAGCGGCGGCCUUGGGACCCUCCCCGUGUAUUACUUUUCUACUUAGCUUACCCUUCUGCUUCUUCUCCAGAGGUCUGCCCCAACAGUAACCUCGAGCUCCCUCUUGCGCUAUAAAAGGAGGACCGGGGGUCAGGGGACAGGCACUUUUUUUCCUCAAGCCAACAGUACACUCUCGCACUCCCUUAGAGUACAAGCACACUCAAGAGACCUAGGAUCAGUUCCCUCUCUCGCCCAUCUGUAACCCCUACUACAGAACCCCGCGUGGGUAACACGAGCAGCCUCGAUACUGGACGUAGGGUGUUCCCUUGCCCGAACCAGUCUAAACCCCGUGUCUCCCACGCCACCAUCCGAAGCCUUACGCGCAUAAAAGAAAUUUACUAGUCUAAGUCUCGAUCCGCAAAUCUUGACAACGACAGUUGGCGCGCCACGUAGGGGACCUUUGCGCAUACGUCUCCGACUUCAGAUGGCCAACCACGACAUCAGCUUCGCUCCGGGCUCCCUAAUCCGCUUCGGAAGUUUAGACAUCCUCGCCAGCGGGGAGGGGACUGAGCUGAUCCCUCUCCUCAUCUUGCCCGCUCGUCCCGUCAUCCCCGGCCCCGCCGCCUGGACGGCGGCGAGCGGCCAGGCGCGCGCCGGAGGGUCCUUCCCAGGUGGUCGGCUCUUCGGGCUGCGCAAUGCCGCAGUGACUUACGGUCGCCUCCUGACGCGAUCCAUGACCGUGUCGCCCGCGAGCAACGGGCUCGCAGGUGUGGCGAGGAUGUUCUCCGACGCCGGCUCCAGCAACGGGAGCCGCCACCCCUCGCGUGAGUGCUUCAUGGCCGACAUGCACUCCGAGGGGUCCAACGACAAUGGCGUCGAGGGGAGACAGAGGACUCCCCCCCCCCCGUGCGCGCCGCGGCUACGUUCAACGACAAUGGCGCCAAGGGCCUCGGAGCGCUUUCGGCAGCCGGAGGCGUGCGCGGCGUCCCGCCAGGAGGUCGAGCGCCCCCGCCACGAAGGCGGAGCGCAACAGCGGGCGCGCGACGUCCAACAGCGCAUCUGCGUGGACGAAGAGCACCCUCAGCUCUUCGCUCGCGCCAGCCAGAACGUCGCAGCCGCGGCGGCCCUACUCCGGCAACGCCCGAGGAGCGACAGGCGCGCCAAGAGAUGCGCGACUUGCUCGAAUGCGCCGCCGUCCAGCAGGCGGAAAGUUCCGCAUCUCGACGACGCGGACAAAACGCCAGCAGGGCGGCGCCCGACGCGCCCCCGGAGAGACGGGGGGAGUCUGUCCACCAGCCUCCUCCCAGGGCAAACCAGGCCGCGUCCGCCCGGCGGACACCACCACCCGCGGGAGGCGGGGCUCGAUCCGUUCAUCGACGCGUCGGCCCCGUCCGCGACGCCCGCGACACCCUGGACGCGCGGAGGCGCUCCCGCGCAGAUAGGGAGGAUGGGGUAGAUCCUGAACGCGCCUUUUCCACCGCGCUUCAGGCAACCGACGAAUGUUGCCAAAUACUCGGGGGAGAUGAACCCUGGGGUUUGGCUCAGCGACUACCGGCUCGCAUGUCAAGCCGGCGGGGCGGACGAUGAUCUGUUCAUCAUCCGCAACCUACCACUCUUGCUGGCCGACUCGGCACGAGCCUGGAUGGAACAUAUCUCUUCGGGAUGGAUCCGCUGCUGGAACGACCUGAAGGAGGUAUUUAUAGGAAACUUCCAAGGCACGUACACGCGCCCCGGUAACUCCUAGGACCUCCGGAGCUGUCGCCAGGGAUCGGACGAGUCCCUCCGGGACUACAUCCGGCGCUUCUCUAGGAAGCGCACUGAGCUCUCCAACGUCGUGGACGCCGACGUCAUAGGGGCCUUCCUAGCGGGAACCUCCUGCCGGCCCCUCGUCCAUGAGCUAGGGCGCCGAGGCCUGCGAACCACGGAGGAGCUCCUCAACAUUGCCACCAGCUACGCCUCGGGCGAAGAGGCCGUUGGAGCAAUCUUCGACCGCUCCAAAGGCAAGGAGAAGCGGGAGGAGGAUGCUGACGAGGGCACCUCCAACCGCCAGCAGAAGAAGAAGGGCAAGCAGCGGCGCGAGGCCCCCCUCGUAGCUGCUAUCGAGCGCAAGCGAGGACAGCCGCCCCCGGAGGGCACUCCUGGCUUCUUCGACAAGUUGCUCGAGGGACCGUGCCCGAACCACGAGUUUCCCGCAAAGCACGCCUACAAAGACUGCAACCUCAUGAAGAGGUACUUUGUAGGCAACCCAGUAAAGGGCGACCAGAAGCGGAAGCCCGAUGAAGAGAAGAAGGGCGACGAAGAGAAGGAGGACGGCUUCCCCAAGGUGGACGGCUGCUUCAUGAUCUUCGGCGGCCCGGCGGCGUACGACUCCAAGCGUCGUCAGAAGCUGGAGCGCCGAGAGGUUUACGCGGCCGAGCCGGCGACGCCGGCCUUCCUCGACUGGUCGAGAUCAGCCAUCACCUUCGACUGGUCCGACCACUCGGGGUGCGUCCGGCAUCCAGGACGCUACCCCCUCGUCGUCGACCCCAUCGUCGGCACAACGCGCCUCACCAAGGUGCUCAUGGAUGGAGGCAGCGGCCUCAACAUCCUCUACACCGAGACCCUCAACGCUAUGGGGAUUGACUGCUCCCGCCUCCGCCCCAGCAAGGCGCCGUUCACGGCGUCGUGCCAGGAAAACAUGCGAUGCCUCUCGGGCAAAUCAACUUGCCCGUCACUUUUGGGACCCCUUCCAAUUACAGGAAGGAGGUCCUCACCUUCGAAGUGGUAGGGUUCCGCGGAACCUAUCACGCCAUCUUGGGGCGACCAUGCUACGCGAAGUUCAUGGCCAUCCCCAACUACACCUACCUCAAGCUCAAGCUGCCGGGGCCCAACGGGUCAUCAUCGUCGGCACGUCUUUCCAAAAGGCGUAUGAGUGCGACGUGGAAUUCUGCGAGUACGCCGCAGCCAUCACCUUCACGGGUGAUCUGGCGGUCCAGCUCGCGGAGGGCGCCGAGGACCAGCCCGACUCCAAGCAGUCGGCCACCUCCUUCGAGGCCACCGAAGGCGUCAAGGAGGUCCUCCUCGACCCCAGCAGCUCCGACGGGAGGACCGUGCGGAUCGGCGCUACCCUAUCCCCCAAAUAGGAAAGCGCGCUCGUCAACUUCCUCCGCGCGAGGAGCUCCAAAAGCUUUUGACGGCCGGAUUCAUCAAGGAAGUGUACCACCCCGAGUGGCUAGCUAACCCUGUUCUUGUACAAAAAAGAAUGGGAAAUGGAGGAUGUGUGUUGAUUAUACCGGUCUCAACAAAGCGUGCCCAAAGGAUCCGUUUCCUUUGCCACACAUAGAUCAGAUAGUCGACUCGACCGUCGGGUGCAAAAUCCUUAGCUUCCUUGACGCGUAUUCCGGCUACCUUCAGAUCGCGAUGAAAGAAUCCGACCAGCUCGCUACCUCUUUCAUCACCCCCUUCGGCCCCUACUGCUACGUUAAGAUGCCAUUCAGCCUCAAAAAUGCAGGGGCUACAUUCCAGCGAUGCAUGCUGAAGUGCUUCAGGGACCUCAUCAGGCGGACCGUUGAGGCUUACAUUGACGAUAUCGUGGUCAAAUCCAAGAGGUGCAACCAGCUUGUUCCUAACCUCGAACUAGCCUUCGAAAGGCUGAGGGAUAAGCGUAUUAAGCUCAAUCCCGAAAAAUGCAUUUUCGGAGUUCCAAGGGGCAUGCUGCUAGGCUUCAUCGUCUCCGUGCGCGACAUCGAAGCCAAUUCGGAGAAGAUAGCGGCCAUCAGCGACAUGGGGCCAAUCCGAAACAUGAAGGGAGUCUAGCACGUCACGGGAUGCUUAGCGGCCCUGAGCCGCUUCAUCUCGCGCCUUGGCGAAUGGGGGCUUCCUCUCUAUCGACUCCUGAAGAAGACAGACCGCUUCGAAUGGACCGACGAGGCCCAGGGGGCACUUGACCGACUCAAGGACCUCCUAACGAAGGCCCCGAUCCUGGUCCCGCCGACCGACGGUGAGCCCCUCCUGCUCUUCAUCGCGGCGACCACCCAGGUGGUUAGCGCGGCCUUAGUGGUGGAACGGGAAGAGGAGGGACACGCUCUCAAGGUGCAACGCCCGGUGUAUUUCAUCAGCGAAGUCCUGUCUGAGUCCAAGGCGUGCUACCCGCAGAUCCAGAAGCUCAUCUACGCCAUCCUCAUCACGAAGAGGAAGCUGCGCCACUACUUCACCUCCCACCCGGUAACGGUUGUUUCGUCGUUCCUACUAGGCGAAGUAAUCCGGAACCAGGACGCCACGGGACAGAUCGUGAAGUGGGCUCUCGAGCUCAUGGACUAGGGCAUCACCUAUGCCCCCCGCACCACCAUCAAGUUCCAGGUACUCGCCGAUUUCGUAGCAGAGUGGACGGAUAUCCAAACACCAUCAGCGCCGGAGAAGCAGAAGUACUGGACAAUGUACUUCGAUGGAUCAUUGAUGAGGGCCCGUGCCGAAGCAGGCCUCGUCUUCGUCUCUCCUCUAGGCGUGCGCGUCAGGUACAUGAUCCGCCUCCACUUUCCCGCAUCCAACAAUGUCGCCAAGUAUGAGGCCCUCCUCAACGGGCUUCGCAUCGUCGUCGAGCUGAGCAUCCGUCGGCUAGACAUCCGGGGCGACUCCCAGCUAGUCGUCGAACAAGUCAUGAAGGAGUGGAGCUGCCACGACCCCAAGAUGGCAGCCUACUGCAACGAGGUUCGCAAGCUUGAAGACAAGUUCGAUGGGCUGGAGUUCAACCACGUCGCAAGGUGCUUCAACGAAGCCGCCGACGAGCUGGCGAAGGCAGCAUCCGACCGAAUGCCCAUCCCCGACGGCGUCUUCGUCAGCGACCAAUUCAAGCCUUCGAUCCGCUACCCAGAACCGGCAAGGGUCGGCGAAGCGCUACCGGCCCCGGGAUCAGGCCCCGACCUAGGGGAGGUCGGCAGCGCGCCACCCGUCUCAGGCCCUGACGCUAUCCCUGACGGGGUCGGCACCGCUUCGUCUGACUCGGCCCCAGAAGCUAACCCCUCCGGCCCCUUGGUCAUGGUAAUCGCGUCAGACCCCGCAGAGGGGCCCAACCCCCCGGCCGAGUAGAGAGACCCAUACCUCGACUACCUCGUCCGCGACACGCUCCCGGCGAACAAAACGGAUGCCCGUAGGAUUGCGCGUCUCGCCAAAUCCUUCACCAUUAUCGAUCACGAGCUCUACAAGAGAAGCCACACCGGCAUCCUCUAGCGCUGCAUCCCGAUCAAACGGGGAAGGGCACUAAAUCCAGGACAUCCACGCCGGAGCCUGCGGCCACCACGCUGCGCCAAGGACCCUCGUCGGCAACGCCUUCCGGCAAGGCUUCUACUGACCGACGGCGGUCGCCGACGCUACCCAAGUAGUCCGUACCUAUGAGGGGUGCCAGUUCUUCGCGCGCCAAACUCACCUGCCCGCACAGGCGCUCUAGACCAUCCCCAUCAUGUGGCCGUUCGCGGUCUGGGGGCUGGAUCUCGUCGGGCCCUUCAAGAAAGCACCCGGGGGCUUCACCCACCUACUUGUCGCCAUCGACAAGUUCUCUAAGUGGAUUGAAGCAAGACCGGUGGCGCAAAUCAAGUCCGAGCAGGCGGUACAGUUCUUCAUCGACAUCAUCCACCGCUUCUGAAUCCCCAACUCCAUCAUCACCGACAACGGCACGCAGUUCACCGGGAAGAAAUUCCUCCAGUUCUGCGACGACCACCACAUCCGAGUGGACUGGUCGGCCAUGGCACACCCCUGCAUGAACGGGCAGGUUGAGCGAGCCAAUGGCAUGAUACUCCAGGGUCUCAAGCCACGGAUCUUCGACCGCCUGAAAAAGUUUGGUGGACGGUGGGUUGCCGAGCUUCCCGUGGUCCUUUGGAGCCUGAGGAUGACCCCCAGUCGGGCGACCUGGAAUACGGAUCGCCGAGGGUCAAGGCAUACAACGAACAAGGGAACCAGGCAUCGCUCGAAGACGCACAAGAUCAGCUCGACGAGGCACGCGACGUGGCCCUGCUGCACUCGGCUAAGUACCAGCAGGCCCUACGGCGUUACCACAGCCGCAAGGUGCAAUGCCGAGCCUUUAACGUUGGCGACCUGGUGCUCCGCCUUGUCCAGGAUAACAGGGGUCGGUACAAGCUAACUCCCCCGUGGGAAGGUCCUUUCAUCAUCGCGCAACUACUACGGCCAGGCACCUACAAGCUAGCGACCCCCGACGAGCAGAUCUUUGGCAACGCUUGGAACAUAGAACAGCUAAGGCGUUUUUACCCCUAGUUUUCAUUUCCAAGUUCUGUACAUAGACUUGUCUAUAAAUUCAAAGUUUUCUUUUUGCGGAAAAAGAAAUUUCAAGCCGUUUCUGUUCAGGCUUUUCCCGUCGAGCUCAGGGAUAUCCGACCCUAGCUUCGCUCCAGGGUCGCAUAUCCCUCGGGGGCUAUCAGGGGCUCCGGCUCAAGCCACUUGGCACCAUCUAAAAAACAUUUUUCCUUUCAAACCGAGCCCCCCUUUCUGAACUUUUUGGGCAUAAAAAGGAGAAAGUGCACGAACGGUGUUCAGAGAAGAUUGAUCGGACUGCGAAAAAACCUACGCCCCAGCGGCUACGGUACCUUCGCUCAUCAAAGCCUACUAACAUGCCUGACAACGCACUCUAAACUUUCCAUGUCCAAAAAACAGGAAAGGAAAUCGGAAACUUUUUCACGAUAAGUUAGGGAAAAGGCCCCCAUGGCCGUUACAAAACAAGCCUGAAACUAAUGUAUAUACAUCUGCGGCGCCAGCCCGACAUAGUCAGCUCGCCGGGGGAUCUUCGGGAGGGACGGCUUCAUCCUCCAGGAGCUUCGUUAAGGCCUCCGCUGGGGUGAACACCGACGCGUCGAUCUCGUCCAGCUCAGCCUCGGAGUAGCCGGCGGCGUACCCCCCGCUCAUCCCAGCGAAGUUGAUGCCGGAGUAGUGGGAGCCGAAGACCCCGAAGGCUCGCCUCACGCCGGUGUGGAGCGCCUCCAGGGCGAUCUCACGGGCUCGGCGGUAGGUCCCGAGGACACGAGUCGCCAGCAAGCUCGUCCCCUCCUCCUGGACCACGCUGAGGCCGUCACAGACGACGCGGACCGCAUCCCACAGGUUGCCGUGCUCAGCGCGUUCCGUGUCGAGCGCCUCCCUCAGCCGGGUGAGCUUGCUUGCAAGGAUCAGCCAGAAGAACCCGCUAAAUCAAAAAUCACCGCAACAUCACAAAGACAAAGAAAUGAACAGAGUCUUACCCUCGGACUGGGCCUUCAGCUGGCGCUCCCGGUCGAGCCCCUGGGCCACGGAGGCCUGAAGCUCCCGCGCUUGCGCUUGAAGCUGACCGACCUCCGCCCCAAGGUCGGCCACCGCCUUCUUGGCCUCCUCCUUCCGGACCUUCUCGGCAUCCCGGUCCUGCCAAGCCUUUUGCCGCUCGCGCCGGAUGCGCUCGACGGUCUUCUGGAGGGCUUCAUGCCCCCCCUUCAGCCGUGCGAGUUCCUCGGCGUCGUGGCGGGCCUUUUCGGCAGUAGCCUGGAACUCCUUGCGGUCGAGGCGGGCCUUGUCGACGACGGCUUGGAGCUUGGCCUCCUCAUGCGCCGCCUACUCGCGCCUCAGCAGGUCGUUAAUGGCCCCCUGGGCGGCGGCAACCUGCAUGGUUAGGUCCCUGGUUCGCUCCCUCUCCAAGUUGAAGCGCUCCCAGAGCCCCCGCUCCAGCCGGAGGAAAUCAGAUUUCCCCCGACUACACUCUUGGAGAGCCUACAAAGCAAUACACCAUCAGGGGCAAGGCAACGGGAAAGAGACAAUCACCUACAGGAGGGGCGACGUACCUGUCUACCAGGGAGGACGACGUUGUCCAACUCCCCCAACACCAAGGACAGAGCCGCGCGGGUGUUGGCGAGGCUGCCCUGCACCGCCUGCCACUUGCGCCACUCCGCGGCGUCGUCCAGGGUGAAGAGGUGCCUCGGUGGGUCCUCACGAGAUGUCCAACGCAGGACAGACCCCCUCCACACCUUGGGGACGGAGGUGGCCAAAGCCGAAGCGAGAGCCGACCCGGAAGCCGCCGGGUCCGCCGACGGUCCCGGCGCCUGCGCAUCUGUCGCUGUCGGGGCCGCCGCGGACCCGCUCGAUGGCGCCACCGCCUCCGACGCAGGCGGCGGGACAAGUAUCCCCGCGGCCACCUCACUCUCCGCCACAACCGCCGAGGUAGGCUCCUCCGCUCCUGCCGAAGCCCCUCGAGCGGGCACCUCCACCUCCGCCGCCGGCGCCACCUCCGCCGGGACCUCCGGGGCGGAGGUCCCCGCCUCCGCCACCGACGCCUCCUCCGCCGCGGCCGCGGAGGCAGGCACUCCCUUCUCUGUCGCCGCCACCGUUCCUGUCGCGGCUGCAGGGACACCCGUCCCUGCUCCCGUCGCCGCCGUCCCCUCCGCCUCGUCGGCAUCGAGGUCGAUCACCUCCCCGGCCUGAGGGCCCUGGGGAACGAUGCUCUGCACCGAAGGGUCGACCAGGGAAGCGGAAGGCGGAACAGGGUCCACACCCUCUCCCGCACCCGAUGGCGCCACCACUCCGCCGGUCGCCGUCACGGGGGCUGCUUCCGCGGCAGGAUCCGCGACCUCACCAGGGACCCCGCCGCUCGCCGUGGGCGGGACCGCGGUCCGCCCCCCAGAGACGGACGACACCCGCAGCGCCUUCUUGGGCGCCAGCUGCAAGACGAGACCACGGGGGGCGGCGCUGCGAAACAACAAAUAAAUGUUGGCGGAAACGAACGCAAGGUGGGGAAAGGAGCGAGGUUCACGAGGAAAUCCAACUUACGUUCCUCCGGAGCAAGGACGGCGCGCGCGCUUCGCCUCGGAGCCGGACGCCGACCCCGGGGCAUCCGGCAGCGGCCGCUUGUCGCCACUCCGCUGCUCUUGAGUCUCAGGCGCGAUUGUGGGGGCGGGAUCCGUGGACCUCCGAGGAGCGCUCCGUGCUGACUCCUGGGGGGCGCCCCGCGCCGGCUCCUGGGCGAUGGUGGGGGCGGGCUCCGUGGAUCUCCGGGGAGCGCUCCGCGCUGCCUCCUGGGGGGCGCCCCGCGCCGGCUCCUGGGUGACGGCGGGGGUGGGCUUCGAAGACCUCCGGGGAGCGCUCCGCGCCAGCUCCUGGGAGGCACCCCACAUCGACCCUUGGGGCAUGGCCCCGGAGCCUUGCGGAACCGAGCUCCGGGCAGAUGAUCCUUCCGCCUCAUCCCUCACGGCCAUUUGCGAGCGCGCCUCCCGGAUUACGAGCGCACCCGACCGAGGAGAUAAGACCAGCUCUUCCUCCUCAUCUUCCUCCUCCUCCUCAUCAUCAUCGUCGUCAUCAUCGUCCGACACGACCUGCCCUCUCCGCCGCCGUUGGAACUCCUUGGCGGCCUUCUUCCUCUUUUUCGCCGUCUCCUUGUCCUUACGGCGCUUCUGCUCUUCGGCAAGGAGACGGUUUUGCAUCCGCCGAUCGGCGUCCUCCAGCACCGGCAGGUGCGAGUCCACGACCUGGGUCAGUAUGCCCUGCAAACACAAAGUGGCACCGCGUCAGAGCGACAACCAAGAGACACGAAAAAAGAAGGUCGGUGCCCCAAUCCCUUACCAGGUCGACGAAGCCCUCGUCCGGGCGCAUCGGCGGGUGCCCGGGCACCGGGUAAUCGGCGUCCUUGUCCUCCAACACCUCCCGGAUCCGCUGUCAGAUCUCGGAGGCAGCGAACGCGCCCGCCGCCAGGAUGGUGCCCUAGGUCGGCGUGCCCGGAGUCAUGGCGGCGAGCGAACGAACCCGGAGCAUCAUUGGCGCCACCCGCCGGGCAUGGUAUGCCCCAAUGACCCCAGUGCCGGUAAGCCCUCUCCUCUUCAAUUGAUCGAUGGCCUGCAGCAGGUCGAGAAUCCGCUUCUUCUCCUUCUUGACCGGUCCGUACAACCACACCUCCGGCGCCACGUCGAUGGUGCGGCCGGUGAACCCUGGCAGGGGGGAGUUCGAGUAGUUCUUCACAUAGAACCACUAGUUGUGCCACCCCUUGUGGGACGCUGAGGUCUUCAUCACCAUAUACUCCUUGGAGCGAGUAUGGCGGAGGUGGAUCCCGGUGUACCCGAUCGGCACCGGGGGCGACCGCUGCUGGUUCCCCCUCGUCUCCGUCUUCUGGUACAGGCUGACCGCGAGAAGUAUUUCCACAACGAGAAGUUGGGCUCAAUGCCCAGGACCCCCUCACACAACGUGACAAACGCCGCAAUGUGCUGGAUCCCGUUGGGGUUGAGGUGCUGAAGCUCGAGCCCGUAGUAGUGGAGGAGCUUGCGGAAGAAGCGGCUCGGUGGAGUCGCGAACCUCCGCUCGUGGAAGUGAGCGAAGGAGACGACGUAGCCGGCGAGAGGCGUUGGCACCUGCUCCGACCCCGGCAGCUCCCACUCGCCCACCUCUGUCCUAUCGCAGAGGAGGCCUUGCCUCACCAGGCCCUCGGCGCGUGAGGAGUUGAAGUGAGAAAUCGCCCAGGAUCCCAUCGUCGGAGGAGGAAGGAACUUGACGGGGAUGGGAAGAAAGGGCGUAGCGCUGAAGUGGAAGAAGGCGAAGCGGGCGCGGAUGAGCUGAGGGCGAGUUCAGAGGGCGAAAAGACUUGAAAGCAGAAGGCGGGCGGAACCAGUGAGGCGGAGUUUUCGUUUUAUAGGGAAGGCCCGAAGGGAGCGGAACCGACGCCCUUGUCGCCAUAAAUGCGGCGCCAGGUAUGCCCCCGUCUCUCCUACAUUCUUUUCGGAAACCACGCGCACGAUCGGCCACAAAAACAUCCUCUCCUCCUCGAUUCGUGGGUCGGCGCCCUCCAUAACUCCGUCUCCCGGAAGACACGCCCACGACGUCCCCCACGUUCGGCCCAACACACAAUAUCCGUCCUAAUUCAGCCCAAGGCCCACCAAAAGGUAAUAAGGGAUACGGGGAUGGAAACGCCCCUACGACCCAUUACAACACAAUAUCCGUCCCUCACAUUUGAAGGCUGGCCCGCUACAGGUUCGACAACGCCUCAGGACAUCCCCCGAACGAGGGGUGAGAAGGGACGGGUCCGCUAGCGGCCAACACCCAGGCGAGCGAAAGCCAAGGGCAUCCCGACCUCACGUUCGAGUCCAGACCGGCAUCAAAGUUCAUGGUUUUUCCAUGAGAAAAGGCAACGAGCCCUCGGAUCCGACCGAACGGACUCGGGAACUAUAUGAACUGGCCGGCUGGAGCCUGGAGUACGCCACCAGCUUGGCCCGAGCCGGACCCCUCCGAACGGGGACCGGGACUCCACUCGAACCGACCCGUUCGCAGCUCAACGAGAACCACGGUUCGUCCAACAAGGAUAGCAUGGCAUGGCUCAACCCCUCCGUCCCAGCGAACGGAUGCUUGAGGGGUAACGAUCAAAAGCCGAUCUAGCCUCCCGAUCGGCCUCCUGCAACGCGUGGGGGCUCGGGGGCUAGCGUUGCAACCAACGACCACGCGUGUGGUCGCGAUUUGAGGACUCCCUGGCCAAGCCAGACCAACAACGCUCCCUACCCCUGAUCAACCGCGGCUUGCAGGACGAGCAGAAGAUCUCCGGUGAAACGACGAAAGAAGCCUCUGGAGGAGCAUUCUUGCUCCACCACAGGCUCGGGGGCUACUGUUGGGGGGAAAUAUUAACAACCUCCUAAUGCCGCUUAAAGCAGCAGUCACGGAAGCCCAGGUCCAUCUAAGGUAACGAAAUUGUCGUCGGCCCAAAAUGGAAGGGAGAGGCCACGUUCCGCCUCGCCCGACCCGGGGUCCUGGGGUCGGACACCCCCGACUCCUUGAAGACUAAACUCCGCCUCGCCCGACCCCGAGGACCGCGGUUGGGAGCGCCCGACCCCCACCACGGAAACUCCGCCUCGCCCGACCCUGGGUGCGGGGGUCAGACUCGCUCGGGUCCACAAGAUGAAUAUCCGCCUCGGGCG
rnacentral:lncRNA from 1 species